rnacentral:lncRNA from 1 species
GCAUUCGCUAAUUUUGAAAUUGUACAUGACAUAGCCAAAUGGAUGUUUUAGUGUGGAGCAGCUAUGGACCAGAGGAUUCUACUGAAGAAUCCGUGGACACAAGUACAUUUUCUGAGGAAGAGCUUCUUGAUAUAACAUUUGAGGCAUGCAAUACCACUGGCACAGGUACAGAUCAUCUCUUGUAAUAACAGCUGUACAUUAGUGUUCUUUUUGUAUACUCGCAUGCUUCCUAAGUUUUUGUUCUCAAUAGGAGAGGUUCUGGCCUCCACGAUCAUGCAGUACCUGCAGACUAUGACUAGCCAGAGCCCAGAACAGGACAGGCUGAAUGCUUUGAAUUGUAUGCUGGACCCUGAGUGCCGGGACCCCGCUAUUAGCAGGGCCAAAUUCCAAUCCACCAUGAGGGAGUGGAUUGCCCAGUGCAGCCAGGAUGGGUAAAGAAAAAACCUUCAGACAGCUAACUGCUAUAGAAUGUUCAUCUGCAGCAGCCUUAUAAUCAACAACAUGCCUCAGAAAUUCUGAUUUGAAUUGAUUACAUCUGUUUGUGUGAUUUAUUUUUAUAUAACAUUGGUUAACCUGCUAAUCUGCUUUGUAUCUAUAAUUGGAGACUAAUGAUUGUUUGUAUCUUUCAGCAUGCAUGAGGACGACAAACAUAUUUCAGGGGAAAACUCUUGUAAAGUGUCUAUAAAUGGUAAGGUUUUGCUUUUGUAGGCAGCCUGGGAAUCUGUCUCAGAUAUCAGUGUAAUUCACUCAUUGUGUUGCUCUUUCACGGAUGGAUUUCUCAGGUCCUGAAACUGCCUUCUCAGAGAGAGAACAGUGUUAUUGUGACUCCAGGGAGCUGUUGGCCACUGUGUCUGAGCUGAAGCAUGCGCACAGUAGAAUGAGUAAGCAGAACAACAGCCUGUUGAGGACUGUAUCUCAGGGUGAGGACACCAACCUGCAGCUCACAGUGGAGAUCACUGAACUUAGUGCCAAGCUGGCCAGGUACUGUCUGUGAGGAUGGAGCAAUAUGUUGUUUUGAUAUGGUGGAACAUUAUAUGGAUUCAUUAUUGCAAGACGUGGUAGUUUACUGUUGUAAAACUGUUUAUGUGACAUCCCCAGUGCCCAGCGGUCAGCAAGGAGAACCUGGUCCCUUGUGGAGGAGCUUGAAGAUGCCAGGAGAUCCCUGAUGGAGGCACAGGAGAGAGCCAGCCAAGCCCAGGCUAGCAGCUGCAAACUGGUACUGCACUCAGCUCUUAGCAGGAGAUUACAUAUAAGGAAAUGGAAUAUAAGGAAAUGGUAUACAAAUGUCUUAGACCAGAGGGUGGAUGAUUUUUAUUGGAAUGCAUACAUUUCCAUAUACAUUUUUUUUCUUCAAUUUUAGAGCAAAGAAUGUGACUGUCUGAAAGCACACAUUAAAGUGCUUGAAGACAAGGUAAAUUUGAUCUUUAUUAUUAUUUCAUAAUAAAUGUACAAAGUGUGUGAUGUCACAUACUGUAUAUUAUAUGAGCGUGACACAAUCACUUUUAUAUCUGCAGAAUGAACAACUCACACUCGAGGGGACUUGUUCUGAAGAUUGUCUCAACAAAUUGAGAAAGGUUAAUGCUGAGAUGAGGGUAAGAACUGUUGGCCAGAACAUCUCUGUCUGUCACUGAGAUAAGAGUGCAGUAAUGGAGA